rnacentral:rRNA from 1 species
GUACCAUAACCGACACAGGUGGGUAAGUAGAGUAUACUAAGGGGCGCGAGAUAACUCUCUCUAAGGAACUCGGCAAAAUAACUCCGUAACUUCGGGAGAAGGAGUGCCUUAUUCUUAAGGUUGCAAUAACAAGAUCCAAGCAACUGUUUAUCAAAAACACAGGUCUCCGCUAAGUCGUAAGACGAUGUAUGGGGGCUGACGCCUGCCCAGUGCCAGAAGGUUAAAGAAGUCGGUUAGCAAUAGCAAAGCUGGUAACUGAAGCCCUGGUGAACGGCGGCCGUAACUAUAACGGUCCUAAGGUAGCGAAAUUCCUUGUCGGGUAAGUUCCGACCCGCACGAAAGGCGUAAUGAUUUGGAUGCUGUCUCGGAGAGGGGCUCGGUGAAAUAGACUUGUCUGUGAAGAUGCGGACUACCUGCACCAGGACAGAAAGACCCUAUGAAGCUUUACUGUAACUUGAAAUUGAAAUUGGACUUUAUUCGCGCAGUAUAGGUGGGAGGCGUUGAUUAUAAUCUUGUGGGAUUAUUGGAGCCAUCAGUGAGAUACCACUCUUGUAAUGUUAGAUUUCUAACUUUGAAUCAUUAUCUGGUCAAAGGACAGUUUCAGGCGGGCAGUUUGACUGGGGCGGUCGCCUCCUAAACGGUAACGGAGGCGUACAAAGGUUUCCUCUGAACGGUUAGAAAUCGUAUCUAGAGUGUAAAGGCAUAAGGAAGCUUGACUGUGAGACCUACAAGUCGAGCAGGGACGAAAGUCGGUCUUAGUGAUCUGACGGUACUGAGUGGAAAGGCCGUCACUCAACGGAUAAAAGUUACUCUAAGGAUAACAGGCUGAUCUCCCCCAAGAGUUCACAUCGACGGGGAGGUUUGGCACCUCGAUGUCGGCUCAUCGCAUCCUGGGGCGGUAGUACGUCCCAAGGGUUGGGCUGUUCGCCCAUGAAAGCGGUACGCGAGCUGGGUUCAGAACGUCGUGAGACAGUUCGGUCCAUAUCCGGUGUAGGCGCUAGAAUAUUGAGAGGAGCCUUCUUUAGUACGAGAGGACCGAGAAGGACAUACCUCUGGUGUACCAGUUAUCGUGCCAACGGUAAACGCUGGGUAGCUAUGUAUGGAGUGGAUAACCGCUGAAAGCAUCUAAGUGGGAAGCCCACCUCAAGAUAUGUAUUCUCAUCACGUAAGUGAGUAAGGUCACGGUAAGACUAACCGUUUGAUAGGCAUUAAGUGUAAGUACAGUAAUGUAUGUGCUGAGAUGUCCUAAUAGACCGAGGACUAG